rnacentral:rRNA from 1 species
AUUGAACGCUGGCGGCAGGCCUAACACAUGCAAGUCGAACGAGUGGCGGACGGGUGAGUAAUGUCUGGGAAACUGCCCGAUGGAGGGGGAUAACUACUGUAAACGGUAGCUAAUACCGCCUACCAUCGGAUUUGCCCAGAUGGGAUUAGUUAGUAGGUGGGGUAACGGCUCACCGAGGCGACGAUCCCUAGCUGGUCUGAGAGGAUGACCAGCCACACUGGAACUGGGACACGGGCCAGACUCAUACGGGAGGAAGCAGUGGGGAAGAUUGCACAAUGGGAGCAAGCCGGAUACAGACAUGCCGCGUGUAUGAAGAAGGCCUUCGGGUUGUAAAGUACUUUCAGCGGGGAGGCGUUACUGGCAGAAGAAGCACCGGCUAACUCCGUGCCAGCAGCCGCGGUAAUAC